AAGAGACAUGUCUUCCCUUUAAUAUAUUUUUCAUUUUCUUUUUAAUUACAAUUACCCUAAGAUACAUGCUUAAGAGACCCGGAUAAUGGUGCUCUUAGUCGAUGUUUCUCACUAAAUUUCUCCGGUCUCUCUUGCUCGAUGGCUGCUACGCCCUCCUCCAAAUCCGUCCAUGAAAUCACCGUCAAGGAUGAGUGACGAAACAGCGUCGACGAAGAAGAAGAAGGAGAAGGAGAGUUUGGGAUGGAUGGAGUGGAUAAGAGGAUGGAGUAGCGUUUUCGGGGAGAUUCUCUUCCAAAGGAUCACCGCCUCUCAUUACCUCAAUCCUCUCCCUCUUCCUCCCGUCAACGGCCUCCCUUGCAUUGUCACUGGCUCCACCAGCGGCAUUGGCCGUGAGACCGCUAGGCAGCUUGCGGAGGCUGGUGCACAUGUUGUGAUGGAUGUGAGGAACACGAAGGCAGCUCAGGAGCUAAUUCAGCAAUGGCAGAAUGAGUGGUCUGGCAAAGGUCUCCCACUUAAUGUCGAGCAAACACGUUUACAUGUACUAUAUAAACCCAUGUAACUCAACACACGUACAUAACCAUGUAUAUGUAUCCGCAAGUUCAGGUAAUGAAAAUGUUCAGGUAUUGAUAAGCCCUUUCUCAAAAAAAAAAGGUUCAGGUUGAUACAAGAAACUUGAAUCAGAACAUUGCUACAGAAAAGAAGUAUCAAAGAGCCCACUAGAAAAGACUCAUUGACACAAAGUUAGGUAUAUACACUUUAGAGCAAAGAUUCAAGAUUCAUGUUGCCGGCUGAAUUUAGAUCAUGAUUAAACCGGGGUUCUUAGGACCGGGUUUACGCGUUAAUCAUGUUAUUAGUUCUAACCUUUUAGCAUAGUACUGUAGGGGUUGGCAACUUGAUUAUCGCGAUUAAUGAUUUGUGGAUAUAUUGUGCCAGCUGUUAUGUCAUUAAUGAGCUUUUCCGAAAGCAGAACAUCAUCUUGGACUUUUCUCACAUCAGUCGACAACACUUGCAAUUUGGUCCACUGCAAGUACGUGACAAACAAUAUUCAUCGUAAAUUUACGAGGAUAUUACGACGACACAUGUUACCAUUAUUUAUUGGUAAAAAUGUGUAUUGAAUACAUUUUGAAUUGCCUAAUUUCGUUGUAAACUCGUUGUAAAACUGAUGUAAGAGAGAUCCUAGUAAAAUUUUCCUAGUAAAAUCCUUGUUAUACUUCACCUACCAAAUUCGAAAUUUUUUCUAUA